GACGAACGCUGGCGGCGUGCCUAAUACAUGCAAGUAGAACGCUGAAGGAGGAGCUUGCUUCUCUGGAUGAGUUGCGAACGGGUGAGUAACGCGUAGGUAACCUGCCUGGUAGCGGGGGAUAACUAUUGGAAACGAUAGCUAAUACCGCAUAAUAGUAGAUGUUGCAUGACAUUUGCUUAAAAGGUGCAAUUGCAUCACUACCAGAUGGACCUGCGUUGUAUUAGCUAGUUGGUGGGGUAACGGCUCACCAAGGCGACGAUACAUAGCCGGCCUGAGAGGGGGGACGGCCACACUGGGACUGGGACACGGCCCAGACUCCUACGGGAGGCAGCAGUAGGGAAACUUCGGCAAUGGACGGAAGGCUGAACGAGCAACGCCGCGUGAGUGAAGAAGGUUUUCGGAUCGGAAAGCUCUGUUGUAAGAGAAGAAAGAGUGUGAGAGUGGAAAGUUCACACUGUGACGGUAUCUUACCAGAAAGGGACGGCUAACUACGUG
rnacentral:rRNA from 1 species